ensembl:ncRNA lncRNA:CR45656 long non-coding RNA:CR45656
GGAAAUGUUUUGGCCAAAUGCCUCACUCUCACACUCACGUACGAAAGCAUUUUAUCAUUUUCUGUCAUUUUUCAUGCCACGAAAAAAGGGUUAAACAAUUUUUAUAUGUCAACAAGAAUAAUUUCUGACACUAACACGGCAACAAAGCGAGGCAACUUGGCUUGGAUUUCUAGGAAUGUGGGACAAAAGGCAUUUGUAGUAUUAAUAAUGACAACGAGAAGAACAACGCAGAACUGGUCGCGAUACAAACUAAAACAAACAAGACAACAAAGUGUCACAAAUGUCAACAAAAAGUGUAGCAAAAAAAGGAGGCAACUUGGAAAUUAAUACUUCACACCUGCACAGGUGUAAAGUGGCAUAAGUGCAACAACAUAUAUGCUACGUGGCAUUAUCCUUGGUC